UAUAUAAUAUCAAGAAUAAACAUAUAUAUCACGUAGCCAUCAAUUAAUAACAAUCCAAUAACAUAUAAUCACAUUCGGCACCUUUAACAACAAUUAUUCACAUUCUCGACUCCAUCAUAUUAUUAUGUCAUAUCAAGCUAGACUUUAUAAGCUUUCAUCUCUCUUUCGUUUCACUUGAUUCCGACUUACGGAUCAAAAGUUAUGCUCAAAACCGUUUCCUCACUCUCUAUCGGCACAUAACACAUCAAAUAGAUAGUAAUCUUCAUAUAACACAUAAGGUUUCCCACCCCAAUUGAUGUCAAAUCAACUCUUAGGUUCAAAAUGAUUUUUCGGGAAUUUUCUGUAAUUUUUAAACAUUUUUCGGAAUUAAAAUCGAUAAAAGAAUCACUUUUCGGAUAAAUAAUCAAGUCCCAAAUACUUGAAGUUGGACUUGAAAUCAUUCAUAAACAAUUAUCGAGCCUUGAAAAUAAUUUGGAAAAAAUAUUUUAAAGCUUGAAACUAUUUUUCGGAAUUUUUAAAUCAAAAAGGAUAAUUAAAUCCAAUUAAUUAAUCAAUUAAAAUCAAUUAAUAAUUAAUUAAAAUAAUUAAUCAAUUAAUAUUUAAAUUAAUUGACCAAUUAAAAUAAUUAAUUACUAAUUAAAAUUAAUUAAAUAGACAUAUAUAUCACGUAAUCAUUAAUUAAUAACAAUCCAAUAACACAUAAUCACAUUCGGCACAUUUAACAACAAUUAUUCACAUUCUCGACUCCAUCAUAUUAUUAUGUCAUAUCAAGCUAGACUUUAUAAGCUUUCAUCUCUCUUUCGUUUCACUUGAUUCCGACUUACGGAUCAAAAGUUAUGCUCAAAACCGUUUCCUCACUCUCUAUCGGCACAUAACACAUCAAAUAGAUAGUAAUCUUCAUAUAACACAUAAGGUUUCCCACCCCAAUUGAUGUCAAAU
rnacentral:lncRNA from 1 species